CCUAUAUAAUUAAUAUAUAUUAGAUUUUUUGUUAUCAAUUUUUUUUAGAUUUCUAAGCUGACUCCAAGAUGGACGGCAUGUUCUUAAAAUGGCCGCUGAUAGAUAAAACUGGCACAAGUUAAGAAGGGGAAAAUGUUUAGAAAUAGCGUUGGAUUACGAAAGCCAUACCACAGCACGUACACGGGAUUUAGAAAGUACAGAGCUGGAAUAGAUACGAGCUGGUAUCUCUUUUGUGUGUGUGUUCAUGUGUAGUAAGUUCUGCCGGAGGUAAGAGAGAGAUAGAGACAGACAAGUGAAUGGUGCUGCUAGCAAACUAGCCUUUUAUUUCUCCGACUUGGAAUUCUUCGAAGCAUUCCUGAAUAAUUAUUUUUUAGGUUCAAAGUUGAGAGGCCAACUCUCUGCAGUGUAUUCUCUGGACCCAGAGCCUAGUUUUUUCAACGGCUAGGGGAACACAGUGUUCACUGCUGAGUCAGCCCGUUUUAAAAUAAAAUAAUAAAAAUAAAAUACCAUAAAAAUAUUGAAGAUAUUACUAAGUAAUUUUUUUUUUAAACAUUUCUCCUUUUUAUUUCACGGAAGCUAUGUCGUCAAGUUAAUAGGAGAGAGAAAAAGACUGACUGGUAAGAAAUUAGUCCAGCCUGAUUCCCUCCCCCAGUGACCUGGCGACCCAGAAAAAUUACAAUUCCAAUUCCAGAGCAAGAAGAGACUAUGAAGAUGAUCAUUAUUCAACUGUUGAUAAAAAAUAAUUAUUAGAACAAUAAUAAUCAAGU